CGUCUAUAUACGUAUAGCAUAUCAAUAAGCGGAGGAAAAGAAACUAACAAGGAUUCCCUUAGUAACGGCGAGUGAAGCGGGAAGAGCUCAAAUUUGAAAUCUUCAAGGUUCUACCUUGACGAAUUGUAGUUUAAAGAAGUGUUUUCUGUUAGAGGAGUAGGCAAAAGUUCCUUGGAAUAGGACAUCAUAGAGGGUGAGAAUCCCGUAUUUGGUUAUUCUUUCUAGCUGUGUGAUACACUUUCAAAGAGUCGGAUUGUUUGGGAAUGCAGUCCAAAAUGGGUGGUAAAUUUCAUCUAAAGCUAAAUAUUGGCGAGAGACCGAUAGCGAACAAGUACCGUGAGGGAAAGAUGAAAAGAACUUUGAAAAGAGAGUUAAACAGUACGUGAAAUUGUCAAAAGGGAAGCGUUUGACACCAGUGUUGUUUUUCCGAAAAUCAAUUAAGAGUGGCUUGAUUUUGUGUUGUAUUGACCUUAUCAGCUUUCUUCACUCUUUUUCGAGUCUUUCUUAAUGCACUUUUCGGUUAACAAGUCAACAUCAAUUUCUUUUGUUGUAAAAGGGUCAUUUGGAAGGUGGCUUUCUUUUCGGAGAAAGUGUUUAUAGCCUUAUACCUCUACAAUCGGAGAGAUUGAGGUCUGCAGCGUAGAUCCUUCGGGGCUAGAUACACUUGUGCUAAGUUAUAGCUUUUCAUAGACAACUUGUUGACUAUGUUUAGUCAUGUAGCUUACCCGCUUGUGCUAUUUUACCUACGCUUAGGAUGUUGAGUCAUCACACAUCUCU
rnacentral:rRNA from 1 species